rnacentral:snRNA from 1 species
AUACCUUCUCGGCCUUUUGGCUAUGAUCAAGUGUAGUAUCUGUUCUUAUAAGUGUGACAACUUAUAUGUUAGC